rnacentral:rRNA from 1 species
ACAGGAUUAGAUACCCUGGUAGUCCACGCCGUAAACGAUGUCGACUUGGAGGCUGUUCCCUUGAGGAGUGGCUUCCGGAGCUAACGCGUUAAGUCGACCGCCUGGGGAGUAUGGCCGCAAGGUUAAAACUCAAAUGAAUUGACGGGGGCCCGCACAAGCGGUGGAGCAUGUGGUUUAAUUCGAUGCAACGCGAAGAACCUUACCUGGCCUUAACAUCCAGAGAACUUUCCAGAGAUGGAUUGGUGCCUUCGGGAACUUUGAGACAGGUGCUGCAUGGCUGUCGUCAGCUCGUGUUGUGAAAUGUUGGGUUAAGUCCCGCAACGAGCGCAACCCUUAUCCUUUGUUGCCAGCGAUUCGGUCGGGAACUCAAAGGAGACUGCCGGUGAUAAACCGGAGGAAGGUGGGGAUGACGUCAAGUCAUCAUGGCCCUUACGGCCAGGGCUACACACGUGCUACAAUGGCGCAUACAAAGAGAAGCGACCUCGCGAGAGCAAGCGGACCUCAUAAAGUGCGUCGUAGUCCGGAUCGGAGUCUGCAACUCGACUCCGUGAAGUCGGAAUCGCUAGUAAUCGUGGAUCAGAACGCCACGGUGAAUACGUUCCCGGGCCUUGUACACACCGCCCGUCACACCAUGGGAGUGGGUUGCAAAAGAAGUAGGUAGCUUAACCUUCGGGAGGGCGCUUACCACUUUGUGAUUCAUGACUGGGGUGAAGUCGUAACAAGGUA